rnacentral:rRNA from 1 species
UACGAAGGGACCUAGCGUAGUUCGGAUUUACUGGGCUUAAAGAGUUCGUAGGUGGUUGAAAAAGUUGGUGGUGAAAUCCCAGAGCUUAACUCUGGAACUGCCAUCAAAACUUUUCAGCUAGAGUAUGAUAGAGGAAAGCAGAAUUUCUAGUGUAGAGGUGAAAUUCGUAGAUAUUAGAAAGAAUACCAAUUGCGAAGGCAGCUUUCUGGAUCAUUACUGACACUGAGGAACGAAAGCAUGGGUAGCGAAGAGG